CUGUCCGUCCGCAAGGCACAGCGCCAGGGCAAAGCACAGCUCAGGCGCAGCCUGACCAGGAAGGGAACGCUCCCGUGCACUGCUAGGUGUUUUGAUUGCCAGUCCUGCGCUGAGCUGGCAGGCCACAAAGCCUCCUCAAGCACCGCUGCCUCCUCUCCAGGCUUCCUGCACUUCCUUUGCUGACAGGGUCCCAUCAGCCCGGCUGCAGGCAGGCUCAGCUGAUGUUACAAAGCGCUGCUGUCCAAAAGAAAAAAAGACAAAAGGCAAACCAGAAAGGAGCUAUUUGUUGCCAGGCUGAAUUCCUCACAGGCGGAGGCAGGAUUCCUCUUGUUCCCAGAAAGGUGCAGAAAAUGCGCCCCGUACAUUCAUGUCUAUGACCAGGCUAUUGCAGGUCAGCGUGACUCACAAUCGUUACCCAGGUGUCUUCAGCUGGUUGGGAUUUUCCCCUGAGAGCAACCUGAGAAUGCUGCUUGCCGUCACAGGCCUUUGAUCCUUCCAGGAAACUCCACAGACCCAUUUAGCUUCCUCCUUUCUAGGACAUGGCCCGGGUUAACUGCCAAGAGGAUGAGCAGUGUAAGCCGUUCCUCAGCAAAUGCCAAUCCCCCUAAGAAAUGUGGAUUCCAGUGGGAUUUAGGCCCGAGUGCUGUUCUCAAGAGCACUGAAGUUCAGGGGUUCAGCAGCGAGACAAGAGCAGGCAGCUUGGCAGGCCUCCACCAUCUCCAGCACUCACCUGCCUUGCAAAUUGCUCUGCUUCCUCUAGGCCUUGGAUGAACUGCUGCUCUUGACCUGCAGCCUUCUCCUGUUACCCAUGAGGCUGGCACCUGAGGCAUUUAUGAGGAGGUCUAGAACAAAAUGACACAGGAGAAAUCCACAGAACCUGCGCUUGGGAUCGUUUGCCCCGUUUGGUGCUUGCAAGUGUCCGCAGCAGACGUGGAGUUGGCAGUUCAGUCAGCUAUGCGGCCCAGAAAGGAAAAGGCUCCGUUAGCUGAGGGAAACCAAUUUACUCAGCACCUGCAGGCCAGAAAUGAGGGUGCAGCAAAUGACUGAAAAACACAGUAUAUGAUACAGCACAUAUCCUCAAUGGGCAUGCCAGAGAUUUCAAACCCACAUCCAUGCAGGAAUGUGACCUUGCAGCUUUCGCACAAGCCAAAGGGAGUGGCGUUUUGCAAAGACACCAGGAGCUCAGUGUGGGACACAGAACAUUUUCAAGAGCCGGACUGACCUGGGAGCUGGUGGAAGCGGAGAGAAGGGGCAAAUGCGCCCAUGGGUGCACCCACACUGUGAGGGCUGCUCCAAGGGCACCCCCUGCCACGCACAGGACAUGGGCACUGCCCCGUGCAGAGGACAUGUCCCUGCCAUAUUGACAACACCAACACUGCUCCAGUGUCAUGCAAACACACAUGGGUGGUUUGUUAGUUGCCAUGUUUUCCCCACUACAAAAUCAUUCUUCCUUCUGUGAAUCCUGCAAUGUGCUGGUUGAUGUUAACCCUGCAGGAAAUGGGUAGGAGUGACAGGCAUUGCAAUUCAGGGAACUAGUUUUAGUCAGAAGCAUUGGUGGCCAAAGUACAGGGUGCGUGAACUUGGUGCCCGUUCUGCGUUACUCUUGGAUCCUUUCAGCUACAGGUUAUGCACUGCAAGCGGGUUUUGCGCUGUUUUGGGACAGCGUGCACCCUUUCAAAGGAGUCCUUUUUGUCGCCUGAUGUUGUAAAGUCUGUGGACAAAUGCAGGCAUCCUUUUUUAUCGCCCCUGCGAUUGUAGGGUUUGCAGGUAUGUGCAGGUGUCUUUAUUUUUGCCUUCUUCCUAUACAGUCGGCCAAUUGCUGUGGGUGUCCCCUUUUCCACCUCUUCUUUGAACAGUUUUCCCCUUUUCCUUGCAGAGUCUGGGGACUUGUGCAAGUGGGUUCUUGUUGCAUUUUUGUUUCCUGGCCUGCAGACUGGAGCAGCACUGAUGAAAUGAUGGAGUGAAUCUGUGGAGCAGUUAGCAGGCCUUUCUUGCUGGUGUCAUCCCACAAAGUUUUUUAUGGUCCCAUGGGAAUCCCCCCGUGGAAAGAAGGAAUGAUGAAUCUGACUCCAUGUUCUCAGAAGGCUAAUUUAUUACUUUAUAAUACUAUAUUAUAUUAAAGAGUACUAUACUAAACUAUACUAAAGUAUACAGAAAGAAUACUUACUCAAUGCUGAAAAGAUAAUCAUGAAAACUCAUUGCUCUUUCCAGAGUCUUGACACAGCUUGGCACUGAUUGGCCAAAGAGUAAAAACAACUCACACCAGAAUCCAAUGAAACAAUCACCUGUGUGUAAACAAUCUCCAAACACAUUCAAAAGGAGCAGAACACAGGAGAAGAAAUGAGAUAAUAAUUGUUUUCCUUUUUCUCUGAAGCUUCUCAGCUUCCCAGGAGAAAAACCCUGGGCGGAGGAUUUUUCCAGAGAAUGUGGAUUUCCAGAGAAUUCCACAGCUCUAUAAAUCUAGAAAUGUAACUCUAUGGAUAUAUAAAUAGAAGAUAGAAAUCUAUAAAUCUGUGUAUACACAAAGACUACACCUGCCUGAUGGUCACAGGUCUCCUCUUAUGCAGGGAGAUCCUUCUUCUCAUGCAUGGCAGCCCUCCUGGUAAGGUAGAUCAGGUGGGUAUCUGGGAAGCAGAGGGAACACUGGGUCAAUAUUGGCCUCUGUGCAUCUUUCCUUUUGGAAGUAACUGUCUUCUGUCAAAGACUGUAAAAGAUGGCCUGAAAGGCAGGCUCUCACUUGGCAAUUUGAAGCCUGCUCUUCAAAGAGCCAGGAUCCUUCCAAGUGUUCAAAACUUCUAAAGUUUUGAAGUAUCCCAGUAAAGUCAAAGACCUCGCACUGCAAAGGGCACCCACGAGAGCUUGAAACAGAGACAGUCCCAGCUGCCACAAAGAAGCCCAGCCUUGUUCUUUGUGCUGACAGAGAGACCUCAGUGCUCACUGAAAUGGCUGAAGCUGAGGGCUGCUGGGAGCUGAGUUAUGAACUAGCACCGUUCCCUGCCAUCUACAACCUGCCCUCUGCAGUGAGCAACAGCUCGUCCAAAACAACCACCAGCUCUGGGAUGAACAGCUGUGUGAAAAAUGACCAGCUAAUAUUGGCUUUCACAUUAAUGUAUGAGCUUAUGCACAUUGUUCGUGAUUAUAAGUAUUUAGAAAUAGCAAUAAAUUAGAACUCUUUUUAGUUGCUUGUUAAUAUAAUGGAAUCUAUCAGCUUAAGUGUGCAGUGGGUUGCUCAUAGAAGUAGUAGUGUAAUGAAUAUAAUUUCUAUGUAUCACGUAUGGAAACAAUAGUGUGAUGAAUGUAUUGUGUUAUAGACCUUAGCAAAACAUAAGGAACAAAAAAAAAAAAGAUUUUUGUGUAACUAAAAACAGUGUAAGGUCAUCCACAGACCAACCUGUCCAAGUGAUAAGAUAACCCUGACACAAACCAGAGCACCAGAGAACAAUUAGAGAAUACCAUGUUAAAUUUAAGAAGGACAUACUAAAUCCUUAUCAGAGGAUGUGAAACAGCAGAAUGGAGACACAAGAAGAAAUAAAAUAUAUUGAUCUGACACAGGCGAUAUCAUGCAGAUAAGCCUGAGUGUGAAGAAGUCCAACAAAGGAGUUGCCAAAACAUCAGAAAGUUCCCAAGAAGGUCUGAAUAAUGCAUGAAACACAUGAGUACGCAUGUAUCUCAUCAAUGUAACACUAUAGAGAUAAGACUGUCUCUAUACACCAGGUGUUCUUUGGCUGAUGGCCAGGAACACCCCAGCGCUGCAAAUAUUGUCCUUUGUUAUCCUCUUACUAUUAAACUGUUAAAAAAUCUAA